GGGGAAUAUUGGACAAUGGGGGAAACCCUGAUCCAGCGACGCCGCGUGAGUGAAGAAGUAUUUCGGUAUGUAAAGCUCUAUCAGCAGGGAAGAAAAUGACGGUACCUGACUAAGAAGCCCCGGCUAACUACGUGCCAGCAGCCGCGGUAAUACGUAGGGGGCAAGCGUUAUCCGGAUUUACUGGGUGUAAAGGGAGCGUAGACGGCACUGCAAGUCUGGAGUGAAAGCCCGGGGCUCAACCCCGGGACUGCUUUGGAAACUGUGGUGCUAGAGUGUAGGAGAGGUAAGUGGAAUUCCUAGUGUAGCGGUGAAAUGCGUAGAUAUUAGGAGGAACACCAGUGGCGAAGGCGGCUUACUGGACUGUAACUGACGUUGAGGCUCGAAAGCGUGGGGAGCAAAC
rnacentral:rRNA from 1 species